rnacentral:rRNA from 1 species
UACGGAGGGCGCGAGCGUUAAUCGGAAUUACUGGGCGUAAAGCGCGCGUAGGCUGUUGUGUAAGUUGGGGGUGAAAUCCCACGGCUCAACCGUGGAACAGCCCUUGAUACUGCGCGACUUGAAUCCGGGAGAGGGUGGCGGAAUUCCAGGUGUAGGAGUGAAAUCCGUAGAUAUCUGGAGGAACAUCAGUGGCGAAGGCGGCCACCUGGACCGGUAUUGACGCUGAGGCGCGAAAGCGUGGGGAGCAAACA